ensembl:lncRNA
UACGAAUCAAAACAAACACGCUGUGUUGGAACGACGAUUACAAGAUGCUUAAAAGCAGUUCCUGACCCACCAGGAUUCAUUGGAAUCAUAGGUUGGAGGACGUUUUGGGGAAAUGGCCGACGGUCGAAGCGGAGAAGAAAUAAACUCUUAAAAUUGCCGGCAAAUUGUCCUGGAGAGACUCCGCCUUUUCCCCCGUUUUUACUAAUUGGACACACCUGAGAGAAAAGAAAAGGUAAUUUACAGAGUGCUCAAGGACACAUAAGAGGUUUGGAGCCGGUGUUCAACAAAAAUGUAACACGGAGAAUGCGAGACAGACAGAGGAAAGACACAGACGAUCAGAGGGGAGAGCGAGAGACGAUCAGAGAGUAGAGAUGAUCAGAUGGAGCAGACGACCAGCGACUGGGAAGAGAGAUUACCAGCGACUGGAAAGGGGAAACGAUCAGAGGAAAAAAAGGCAGAUGACCAGCGACUAGGGACGCGUAGCGGCAGUCUGGUGGCAAUAACGACAAGAGCCAGCUCGUGCACUGCGGGAGAACCGAAGCAGUGAGACCGCGGUGCCGAUUGCAGUUUGAGGAAGCGGCGGGCGGAGUUGAGAGCUCUGCCCACCCGGGUAAGUCUUUGACUUAUCCUUUUUAUAAAGUAAACUGCCAAAGGAAUAGUGACUGCCGCUCCCUCCCUUUCUUCAGUGCACCAGGACGUGGAAUGCGGGGAGGAAGGCGAGGACUCCGCUGGGUUUCCCUCUUUUAAUACUACGCUGGACCUCUUAGUUUUCUGUGACUUUUAGGCCGUGGUGGAUUCCACUGGACUUCUAAUGUUGUGUGUUAUUGAUUUUUAUUGUGUCUUCCCUUGGCCAAGGUUGUUUUAAUUCAUUUUAUAUUUUUAACUAUUUAAACAUAAUAAAUUAUAUUUUUAAUUCUACAGUUUUUGUAUCGUGUGCUUUUCCCUCGGCGGCUCCACUGCUCUGCCCGCUUUGAGGAAGGUUUCCUUCCUUUUAAAAAACACAAACCAUCUUGGAAACAUAAUCAGCCUUUCCGCUCCGGUGUCAUAUUAGUUUAGGUUUGUGCCGAAGCUGGGUCUGUUUGUCAGUGUGAAGCCAAACGUGCUUUAACGUUUUAGGAAACACCGAGCAGACGGUUCAUACUUGCCAACAUUCAAAGGGCUGUUGGGGGGGGGGGGCAAAUAUAUUUUACAGUGUUUAUUUAUUCGACAAAAUACGUUAAAUGUCACCGUUAUUAUUGGCUGGCCGGAAACAGCGGGGGUGUCCAAAUUCAGAGGCUGCUUCCACCUGAGGACCCGCCUUCACGGUCUAAAGAAAGCCGCGUAGUACGUCACGAGCUCCCUCGGUGGAGUGAAACUGCGUCUGCUCCUUGCUGUCUAAAAUGUAACCGGGCGCUGGCGUCAAUUCUCCACCGUCUCACACUUUGUUUAAUCAGUUUUCUGUUUGACGUUUAUUCAGCUUUGUGAAAACCCCAGAGGACCCCUCCCGAGGGAUUAAUAAAGUUACAUUUAAAGGAGCCAGCAUCAGCUGAGAGAUAUAGAGGAGAACAGGGGGACAACAGACAGCUCUCUGUAGUUGACAGACUGGUAAAAACAUUGAAAACAGUUUUUAGAUAUUUGCUUCCUGUAUUUGCAGAAGUAUCUCCAACACAAACUGUAACAGCUGCAUGCAGGGAACCACUCAGUCAUGUUUAUCCUGCAGGACAGGAUCUGACAGGGAAAGAAGGAAAAAUAAGGGAACCACGGACAACUUUGAUAAUGCUUUGAUUUAUCCACAGUACAUUUAGUUCAAAUAUUGUUUCCAUCACAGAGGGAUUGUGCUGGUUUCAGUGGGGAAAGUAUGCAGCUCAUUUAAAUGUUCAAAGAGCUGUGAAAAGUUGUCCGUUCAUAAAGUGUGUCAGUAUUUUAUAAGGAUGCCAUGUUUCUGUAUCAUCUCUCUCCUGUCAGAGCCUCUUCCAAACAUCAGCCUGUUUAAUGCUCUCAUAUCUUCAACAUCUCGAGUAAAUUAUACUGCACAGUUUUCUCUCCAAUAAAA